rnacentral:rRNA from 1 species
UACGUAGGGUCCGAGCGUUGUCCGGAAUUACUGGGCGUAAAGAGCUCGUAGGCGGUUUGUCGCGUCGAAUGUGAAAACCCGGGGCUCAACUCCGGGCCUGCAUUCGAUACGGGCAGACUAGAGUUCGGUAGGGGAGUCUGGAAUUCCUGGUGUAGCGGUGAAAUGCGCAGAUAUCAGGAGGAACACCGGUGGCGAAGGCGGGACUCUGGGCCGAUACUGACGCUGAGGAGCGAAAGCGUGGGGAGCAAACAGG